CCCUUAGAUGUCCGGGGCUGCACGCGCGCUACACUGAAGGAAUCAGCGUGCUAAAACCAUUGUCGAAAGGCAUUGGUAAACCCAUUAAAAUCCUACGUGAUUGGGAUCGGGAAUUGCAAUUAUUUCCCUUGAACGAGGAAUGCCCAGUAAGUGUGGGUCAUAAGCUCGCGUUGAUUACGUCCCUGCCCUUUGUACACACCGCCCGUCGCUGCCCGGGACUGAGCCGUUUCGAGAAAAGCGGGGACUGCUGCUGUCGGGGCUUUCGGGCCUUGGCUUCGGUGGAAACCGCUUUAAUCGCAGUGGCUUGAACCGGGCAAAAGUCGUAACA
rnacentral:rRNA from 1 species